rnacentral:sRNA from 1 species
CAUUUUUCCAAGGAGUGCUUUUCUCCCUCAAUUCCUCACUGGCAGUGAAGCUGCUUUCUUGUAACGUCUUCCUCUUCUUCUGACGAGAUGCUGAUUCUGAUUGCCAUCUAGCAGCUUCCGGUGGUGACUACAGAAUGAAAAAUGGAUGAAUGUCAAAGUGGGAGACAUCAUUAAAUUAGAAAAUAACCAAUUUGUUGCUGGAUUGUUGUCUGUGAGGUGCCUAACAACAAGUUAGAU